rnacentral:lncRNA from 1 species
ACAAUAUCUGACUAAUAAUUUUCUAUUUUUUUCCCUCUCCACAGGAAAGAAACCUGCCCGAAGAAGAUUUAUAUGAUUCAAUUGGACAGCAAUAAUCCAGUGACUUGCUUUUUAUUUGAAGCCAUGGCAAAAAAGGAUUCGUAGAAUAUAGUCAGCCGUCUUUUGUAAAUGUCUGUAUUCAACUUCUUUAAUAUAGAUAACCAUGUAAAUAUGUGCAUGCGUUUCUUUUACAGACAAAAACCUAUUUGCCAAAUAGCCAUGGCUAGGACUAUCAAAUAACAAUUUAACCAUCCGUUGGCUUGCCCUUCUUUUCAAAGACUGUCGGUCGCGCUCAACCAACCAAUAAUGUUUCCUAUCUGGUAAAUAAUUUAUGGGGAUGUUUGAGGGUUGGGGGAUUUUUGGGCCGCCCCCUCCCCCUUUUUGAGUAGAGGACUGAAAAGAAGCAAAACAUCAGAGACACAUAAAGGCAAGAAUACCCCCCCUCCCAAUUACUUUACGAGGAAGGGUUGGGAUAAAAGGCUGUAAAUGGGCGUGGUUGGCAUUUUAAAGAAGUAAACAAUCUGCAAACAACAAACAAAGCUAACAUCACUUCCCAGUACAAAUGCCAUCAUAAGACUUCUGAGGAGUGUAAUGCAUUUUAUGCGGAGGCGCCGAAUGGACAAUCCCGCAAACUUUCCACCAGCAGACAACGGAACUGAUUUGGGAGUGAGUGAGAUCAAGCGAGUGAGAUCAUGUCCACAUUGGGACUGGACACUGAAAUGAUUCCGUUCGCCGGUUGCACCGAGACUGUCAAGAUGAUGCAGGCCAGUAUCCAGUGUGAAGGACAUCCAAACUGCCAGGCAUCAUCCAUUCAUAUGAAGAAGAUUGCUUAGGCAGGCAAAUGUAAUACGGAUCACAUAAGAUGGUUGCUGCUUUUAUGGGAGAGGGCUUCGCUGUAUUUUUUCAUGUUUCUGAAUGGUUGUUUUUAUAUUUUUGGUGACCUCCUGGUAUGUUGGAAAAGUAGUAUAAAAUAAUUUUAUUUAUUUUUUAAAAAAUAUAUAUUUCUGCCUCCACUGCAUUUGUGAGCUGCCCAAGAAUGAAAGAUUUUUUUUAUUUUUAAGAGCUUGUAAAUCAAAGGUUUUUUCCCCCUUAAUAAAGCAUAAUCCGGUGAAAUAUUUAAAUAUAAG